rnacentral:rRNA from 1 species
UACGAAGGGGGCUAGCGUUGCUCGGAAUCACUGGGCGUAAAGGGUGCGUAGGCGGGUUUUAAGUCAGAGGUGAAAUCCUGGAGCUCAACUCCAGAACUGCCUUUGAUACUGGGAAUCUUGAGUAUGGAAGAGGUGAGUGGAACUGCGAGUGUAGAGGUGAAAUUCGUAGAUAUUCGCAAGAACACCAGUGGCGAAGGCGGCUCACUGGUCCAUAACUGACGCUGAGGCACGAAAGCGUGGGGAGCAAACAGG